GAUGAACGCUGGCGGCGUGCCUAAUACAUGCAAGUCGAGCGAACGGACGAGAAGCUUGCUUCUCUGAUGUUAGCGGCGGACGGGUGAGUAACACGUGGAUAACCUACCUAUAAGACUGGGAUAACUUCGGGAAACCGGAGCUAAUACCGGAUAAUAUUUUGAACCGCAUGGUUCAAAAGUGAAAGACGGUCUUGCUGUCACUUAUAGAUGGAUCCGCGCUGCAUUAGCUAGUUGGUAAGGUAACGGCUUACCAAGGCAACGAUGCAUAGCCGACCUGAGAGGGUGAUCGGCCACACUGGAACUGAGACGCGGUCCAGACUGCUACGGGAAGCAGCAGUAGGGAAUCUUCCGCAAUGGGCGGAAGCCUGACAGAGCAACGCCGCGUGAGUCAUGAAGGUCUUCGGAUCGUAAAACUCUGUUAUUAGGGAAGAACAUAUGUGUAAGUAACUGUGCACAUCUUGACGGUACCUAAUCAGAAAGCCACGGCUAACUACGUG
rnacentral:rRNA from 1 species